GACGUAGGGCGCGAGCGUUGUCCGGAUUUAUUGGGCGUAAAGAGCUCGUAGGCGGCUCGUUGCGUCAGCUGUGAAAACCCGCAGCUCAACUGUGGGCUUGCAGCUGAUACGGGCGAGCUUGAUUCGGUAGGGGAGACUGGAAUUCCUGGUGUAGCGGUGAAAUGCGCAGAUAUCAGGAGGAACACCGGUGGCGAAGGCGGGAUCUCUGGGCCGAUUACUGACGCUGAGGAGCGAAAGCGUGGGGAGCGAACAGG
rnacentral:rRNA from 1 species